CAGUCAUGUAGGCUUAGAUUUCACUGGGACUUUCCAGCAUAAUUUUGCCAGAGUACAGCUGACAUCCACACUUAUCCAAACGAUGGAAAAGUUUUUUGGUCCUUGACAGCUAGCCAUACUAUAUCAGAGGGAAUACAGAGAAUGGUACUUUUCCAGUACUUUCCUAUCUAUCACACAGUAAGUGGAAAGGUUGAACAGCCCCCACUUCUGACACUUGUACAUCAGGCAACAUGAAUGAAGGUCUGAAUGAUUUUAAAGAAAACAUGCUUAUUUGCACUCAGAACCUGUCUUACUCCAAGAAGAUACAGUCUCAGAGCUCUGUGGGUGAAUUAGGCUUUUUGUUCAACUCUGUAUUUAAAAAAAGCCCCCAACCCUAAGACUCAGUCUUACCCUCUGCCCCAGGGCUGCCCUGGUUCUGUGCCUGGCAGGCUGGCUUUGCUCUGAAGCACACCAGCUCUCCGUACCUUGUAUAUUUUAAUGCCGACACUGAUCUUCAAUCAGCAUUGCCCUGGCCUUCCAGUGAAAAUAUGCCAGAAUGUCACAGGUUUCCAAAUGAAAUGCAAAUACUGAACUUUCUGAAAUUUACUGAUAGUAUUUUACUCCUUUACUGCAUCUGAGUGGUAUCAAGACACAACAGAAACAAGGGUUUAAGAUUCCUGACCGCAAAGGUAAAGCUCUUUGCACUUGCCACUCCACAGAUGUCUCAGCUGGAUGGUCUGUAACACAUCCCGAGAAGAAUAUGAGUCCUCUGCUCACUCGCUCACUCAGCAUAAUGAGAAGAAAUGAUGAAAUACUCAAAGUCAGAGCCAUUCUCAUUGUGUAACUCUGCUGCAGUACAUUUGUUACCUAUGCACAGAUCCAAGAAUAAAUUUUGGCCCUGACCAUGGAAUAUUCACUCACUUUCAAAUACGGAUGUGACCUGCUUUCUCCUUCUGUGACUAACAGGGUGACCAGAGGCAGUGGAAUGUACACUAGGAUUGGAAAGAAUAAAACCAGAGGGAAAGCAAGCUGUCAAGAGAACAGUGUACCAAAGAGGAAAAAUGUAAACAUGACUUCUAUUUACCAAGAUUAAUAUGUAAAGUUAGCAUGUUUGUCAUGGAAUAUAUUAAUAUGUAUGUUUUCCCAUUAAGUAGAUAUUUUCUUAUAUUACUUAUUAGAAAGGGAUAUAAUCAUAAUGAUGGGGCAAGAAUGCCACUUCAAAAUUAGGUGAUGCCCAGUCAACAUAAUAUAACCACUCCAGUGUCAUUUCUGAUUUAGAUGUGGUGAUGUCAGUGUAAUUGCUGCUGGGAAGAAAUUAUAAUGGCUGUUAAUGAUAAAUAAAAUGACAAGAAGGAGGAUCUUCCUUCACAUAUCAUUCCAAGCAAAAUUUAACUGCUGACUUCCUUAAGCACUCAGUGCCAUUCAUUGAUGAAGAGGAAAUAAGCAGGUUUUGUGUAGCUGCAUGGCCAUUAAGAGCUGCACUGUCAUUUCCCAAGCCCAAGUAUAGACACUACAGGUCUAACAAGAUUUUACCACACUAUUUCCACUCAGGAAAGAUGUAGUAUGAAGCUCACAUGAAGUGAAUCUUAACACAAAGUUAACAUUAUUCUAACAGAAAGCACUGUAGCAAGCAAACACAAAAAUAAGCAAAAAUAGGGUAAAGGCAAACAUACAAUCAUGCAUGUGGAUACUUUUCAAAGCCCCCAAAUACUCCAGUCUUGUCUCCAUAAACACAGGCAGCCUUAACCCACGGAUCAAAAGACCUUCCUACAUUUGUUUUAUAUCAUAAAUGUGUCAAGAAUGAGCUACAUGAAGCAUUAUUCACCCACUACACAUGGCUUGUUAGCCUACUUGAGAGCAUCUUUCAACUCAUUCACACAUUAAAAGCCAGGAAACCAACAUUUGAUUACUAGUUCUAGCAUUAAGAUCAAAGACCACAUCUUCCCAUCUGUGAAGAGCAAGAGCCCAAUUCUUUUCUCCUUACUCUGCAAUUACAGAAGAAUCAAAACUCAACAUUAUACUCCACAUCCUAUGAGUAACAGAGCUCCAGUCUGUAAAAGCACAAAACACCCAGUAUAAUGUACAUACAUACAUUUUUUCCUAGGCCUCUUGGAAAGAAGGUAAGUAUAAGCAAAUCUGUAGUCACAUCUUCACAAUACUUGCAGUCUGCAGCUAUCCAAAACUCAGACACUGCUUGAUCCACAGGUGUUAUCUUAGUGUAUAAAAUUACAGCACCUCUUAAGAGGGAAAAUAGUACAUACCUGCCAUUUACUCUGCUGUUUACUCUGCCGUUUACAUUGGUGGUGUAAGGGUUAUAUAUUAAAACAGUGUGUUAAAUUAAAAACCACAAAAAAGAUACAGGCAGUGUUGGUUGAC